CUGAGUGUUCUCUUUGUGUUUUCUUUGUUUUUUCUCAGUGUUCUUUCUGUGUUCUCUCAGGGUUCUGUCUGUGAUGUUGUAAACUACUUUCCAGGUUGAUUGCUUGAAGGUGUCCAGGUUGCUUCAUGAAGGGACGGCUGUCAAAGACUUUCAUCUUGUGAGUCUCUACUGGGGUCCCAAACAGCACCAUAUCCUCCGUGGGGCCUGGUGAAAAGUAAUGCACUAAAUAAGUAAGAUGAGAAAUCAAAUGGGAACAGAAAAACAACAUAGGAAAAGGAAGAAGAAAAAUAGAAAUAAUGCACCAGAGACUGCUCUAAUGUUAAUAAUAGAAAUAAUGCACCAGAAACCGCUCUAAUGUUAAUAAUAGAAAUAAUGCACCAGAGACUGUUCUAAUGUUAAUAAUAGAAAUAAUGCACCAGAGACUGUUCUAAUGUUAAUAAUAGAAAUGAUGCACAAGAGACCGCUCUAACGUUAAUAAUAGAAACGAUGCACCAGAGACUGUUCUAAUGUUAAUAAUAGUAAUAAUGCACCAGAGACUGUUCUAAUGUUAAUAAUAGAAAUAAUGCACCCCAGACUGUUCUAAUGUUAAUAAUAGAGAUAAUGCACCAGAGACUGUUCUAAUGUUAAUAAUAGUAAUAAUGCACUAGAGACUGUUCUAAUGUUAAUAAUAGAAAUAAUGCACCCCAGACUGUUCUAAUGUUAAUAAUAGAAACGAUGCACCAGAGACUGUUCUAAUGUUAAUAAUAGUAAUGAUGCACCAGAGACUGUUCUAAUGUUAAUAAUAGAAAUGAUGCACCAGAGACUGUUUUAAUGUUAAUAAUAGUAAUAAUGCACCAGAGACUGUUCUAAUGUUAAUAAUAGUAAUAAUGCACCAGAUACUGUUCUAAUGUUAAUAAUAGUAAUAAUGCACCAGAGACUGUUCUAAAGUUAAUAAUAGAACUAAUGCACCAGAGACUGUUCUAAUGUUAAUAAUAGAAAUAAUGCACCAGAGACUGUUCUAAUGUUAAUAAUAGUAAUAAUGCACCAGAGACUGUUCUAAUGUUAAUAAUAGUAAUAAUGCACCAGAGACUGUUCUAAUGGUAAUAAUAGAAAUAAUGCACCAGAGACUGUUCUAAUGUUAAUAAUAGUAAUAAUGCACCAGAGACUGUUUUAAUGUUAAUAAUAGUAAUAAUGCACCAGAGACUGUUCUAAUGUUAAUAAUAGUAAUAAUGCACCAGAGACUGUUCUAAUGUUAAUAAUAGUAAUGUUCUUCCAUUCCUAAACAUCCAUAUUUGUAUCUCUCUUCCUCUCCUCUAUUUUUCUCCCGCU